ACAUCACAGAAUAGUGAUACACCUGAACUUACAGAGACCACUCAAGAGUUCAUGGCACAUUCUGCAGUUCCCAGGUCCAACUCAUGGAAUGCAGCAAUAAUUCCACGUAGACCUGGUCUUGUUCAUGUAAUUUCAGUUUCAAGUAUAAGCUUUGCCAUUGCCCUGAUAUGUGGACUCAUGAUCUCCUAUAUGAUAUAUCGUCUGGUGAAAGCUGAGGAAAAACAGCAGCUUGCAAUGUUGUAUGAGAAUGUGGAGAUUCCACUUUUAGACGAAAAGGAGGCCUCUGAAGACGAAGGCCAGGAUGAGUCUUCUGAACCACACUCAGAGAAUGAGGAGCUGGGGAAGUUCAUCAGCUCAGGUGCUUUGUCCUGUCAGAUCCAAGGCUGGGAUGGUGGCUUGGUU